rnacentral:rRNA from 1 species
GACGAACGCUGGCGGCGUGCUUAACACAUGCAAGUCGAACGGAAAGGCCCUGCUUUUGUGGGGUGCUCGAGUGGCGAACGGGUGAGUAACACGUGAGUAACCUGCCCUUGACUUUGGGAUAACUUCAGGAAACUGGGGCUAAUACCGGAUAGGAGCUCCUGCUGCAUGGUGGGGGUUGGAAAGUUUCGGCGGUUGGGGAUGGACUCGCGGCUUAUCAGCUUGUUGGUGGGGUAGUGGCUUACCAAGGCUUUGACGGGUAGCCGGCCUGAGAGGGUGACCGGCCAAAUUGGGACGGAGAUACGGCCCAGACUCCGACGGGAGGCAGCAGUGGGGAAUAUUGCACAAUGGGCGGAAGCCUGAUGCAGCAACGCCGCGUGCGGGAUGACGGCCUUCGGGUUGUAAACCGCUUUCGCCUGUGACGAAGCGUGAGUGACGGUAAUGGGUAAAGAAGCACCGGCUAACUACGUG